GGGGUUGUAGCUUAUUGGUAGAGCACUUGCCUUGCAUGUGUGAGGCACUGGGUUUGAUUCUCAGCACCA
rnacentral:tRNA from 1 species